GUCGAACGGCAGCGCGGGAGCAAUCCUGGCGGCGAGUGGCGAACGGGUGAGUAAUACAUCGGAACGUGCCCAAUCGUGGGGGAUAACGCAGCGAAAGCUGUGCUAAUACCGCAUACGAUCUACGGAUGAAAGCAGGGGAUCGCAAGACCUUGCGCGAAUGGAGCGGCCGAUGGCAGAUUAGGUAGUUGGUGAGGUAAAGGCUCACCAAGCCUUCGAUCUGUAGCUGGUCUGAGAGGACGACCAGCCACACUGGGACUGAGACACGGCCCAGACUCCUACGGGAGGCAGCAGUGGGGAAUUUUGGACAAUGGGCGAAAGCCUGAUCCAGCCAUGCCGCGUGCAGGAUGAAGGCCUUCGGGUUGUAAACUGCUUUUGUACGGAACGAAACGGCCUUUUCUAAU
rnacentral:rRNA from 1 species